rnacentral:rRNA from 1 species
UACGUAGGGGGCAAGCGUUGUCCGGAAUCAUUGGGCGUAAAGCGCGUGUCGGCGGCUCGGUAAGUCUGCUGUGAAAGUCCAGGGCUCAACCCUGGGAUGCCGGUGGAUACUGUCGAGCUCGAGUCCGGAAGAGGCGAGUGGAAUUCCUGGUGUAGCGGUGAAAUGCGCAGAUAUCAGGAGGAAUACCGAUGGCGAAGGCAGGUCUCUGGGCUGACACUGACGCUCAGGCACGAAAGCGUGGGGAGCAAACAGG